rnacentral:rRNA from 1 species
UACGUAGGGUGCAAGCGUUAAUCGGAAUUACUGGGCGUAAAGCGUGCGCAGGCGGUGAUGUAAGACAGUUGUGAAAUCCCCGGGCUCAACCUGGGAACUGCAUCUGUGACUGCAUCGCUGGAGUGCGGCAGAGGGGGAUGGAAUUCCGCGUGUAGCAGUGAAAUGCGUAGAUAUGCGGAGGAACACCGAUGGCGAAGGCAAUCCCCUGGGCCUGCACUGACGCUCAUGCACGAAAGCGUGGGGAGCAACACGAUGAU